GUCUCAUGGUUCAAGAUGGCCAGCAAGAAAAUGGGGAGGUAGGGCUGCAGUGGAGAAAGGCUGAGAGUCACACUGAGUUUUUAUUCUCCCUUUUCUUUAUUAAUACGAAGGUAAGGGUCCGUUGUCCGUAGUGAUGCUUUCUAAGGCCCACUUGACUUCACAUUCCAGGAUGUCUGGCUCCAGGAUCUUAGUUCCUCAACCAGAGAUGAAACAAUACCCCCUGCAGUGGAAACAUCGAGUUCUAACCACUGGACCUCCAGAGUUCAUAUUUGUGAAGUCACCUACUUGCUGAAGAUCAUUUGUCAACUUGAAAAUCCACACUCCCGAUGCUUUCAUCAUCAUUUGUGGACACGUCUGCUGUGGUGUGAUGAAAAAUUGAGUCACCAGGGUUAUUCCCAGUUGAGGUUAAAGAAGGUGACAUUCUUUUUUCUUGUUUUAGCUCUCUUACUGAAAAUGAGUGUCUACUUCAUGUUUAAAAUGGCACCCAAACACAACGCUGAAGGGCUAUCUCGAGUUAAACGUUUUUGGCUGAG